CCUACGGGUGGCAGCAGUGAGGAAUAUUGGUCAAUGGACGCGAGCCUGAACCAGCCAAGUAGCGUGAAGGAUGACUGCCCUACGGGUUGUAAACUUCUUUUAUAAGGGAAUAAAAUGAGGCACGUGUGCCUUUUUGUAUGUAUUUUAUGAAUAAGGAUCGGCUAACUCCGUGCCAGCAGCCGCGGUAAUACGGAGGAUCUGAGCGUUAUCCGGAUUUAUUGGGUUUAAAGGGAGCGUAGAUGGGUUGUUAAGUCAGUUGUGAAAGUUUGCGGCUCAACCGUAAAAUUGCAAUUGAUACUGGCAGUCUUGAGUACAGUUGAGGUAGGCGGAAUUCGUGGUGUAGCGGUGAAAUGCUUAGAUAUCACGAAGAACUCCGAUUGCGAAGGCAGCCUACUAAACUGCCACUGACAUUGAUGCUCGAAAGUGUGGGUAUCAAACAGGAUUAGAUACCCUGGUAGUC
rnacentral:rRNA from 1 species